GCUAAAGCAUUGAGCCUAUAGCAUAUCAUCCUGGACCACAUUAUAAGAGUAGGAAUAGGAGUAUGGUAUCAGAUUUAGGUUACUUGUACAAAUUUGUUUUUAGCAAUGAUUGGUUAAAUGCAAGGGUGGCUGUGUGCAAGAAUACAGUUUGCUUAGUAAUGUAUGUCAGAUUAUGUAACCAAAAAAAAAUGAUGUCUAAACAGUGCCAUUAUUCAGAGCCUAUAUUGAC